GUUUAAGAAUCUAAAUAUAGAGAAAGACUUUUAAUCUUUUAAUUGGUAAAAUACCCUUAAUCA
rnacentral:tRNA from 1 species